AUGCAGCCAGCUCAUCCGUCACCCACCCUCUUCUCCUGGUAUCUGCCACUCUGGAACUUCCCUCUACCUCUGGGCUCUGCCUUCAGCCAGGGUUGGGGACAGCAGGCACAGAUCAAAUGAUUCCAUGAUGACAAACUGCCUGUCUCAACUGACCAGAUUCCACUGGCAAACACUCCGCUGACCUUGGGCAGCUCCCUCUGCUCCCACCUCCUCUGGCCCUUGUGCUUCUGGGGCUUUGUGGAGUAGCUGGACAUCAAUGAUAACACUAACAGUAGCCGGCCUGCCACCAAGUUCUUUACAUAGGGGAUGCCUAUGUCUGUGCUUCAUUGGCGUCAUCUCACAAGGCCCUGAGCUGGCAGGAAAUUGAGGUCUCAAGGGGAAAAGCCACCUGCCCCCAGUGACAACCAGGAAGUGCAAGACUCUGACCCAACGCCCAUGCCUGCCAUCCCCAAACAUGGGCUCAAAACCCCCUUCCCAGGGACGGCUGUGUCCACCCCUCAGCAGGAGGAGGAGACCCCACAGCACCGGGUGAGAGGAUUAAGUGAGCCAGUCAUGCAUGGGCCGAGAACCAGGUUUGGCAUAUUGUAGCUGCUCAGUGGACGUUAGCUGUUAUGAUUGGACCACAACGUGCUUCCGUUUCAAUUCUGUGGGCCUUUUGGAGGUCCUGCUGGAUGCUAAGCACCGAAACCUCAACCCGGAACAAGACCAGAACAACCUGAGCAACAACAGGACCAGCGAUGGCUCUCCCUGCUGGAGGAUUCUGGAAGUCACCUGGCUGGACCAAGCCCUCUCCGUGUUCUCUGUCAGCCCACUCCCCAGAGCCGCUAGGCCUGAUGUGCACAAGCAGACUAAUAAAGGCUUGAGGA
rnacentral:lncRNA from 1 species